rnacentral:lncRNA from 1 species
AUGUAAAGCACAAUUGUUAUCAAUGUUAAGGCUUUGUUAAUAGACUUACAAACUGAAAUCUUAAGGCCCAAUUACAUAUUAUAUUUUAGUAAUUGCAAGAAUGGCCCAAUUUAAGACCCAAACUACUUUUUUUUUUUUUUGGUCAAAGACCCAAAUUACUUAACCUGUGUUUUUACUAAUCGUCGGCUGAAUUGCACCAUCUUACUAGAACAAUUUCUUUUAAAUUUGUUCUUCUUAGUUGAAAUACAAUCCAAAACACAAAGAUUGAUUUGAAUGAGUCCGAUUCAAGAUCAUAUCAAACUUCAAACCCAAACCUUAAAAUAUCUACUUUUUG